AGGGUGUAAACGCUGCGGGCUUGGUGUUGGGGUCCUUUGAGGGCGCCCAGUGCCGGAGAGAAGUUGUUAAGCCUGCUGCUUGGGGAGUACGUCCGCAAGGAUGAAACUUAAAGGAAUUGGCGGGGGAGCACCGCAACGGGAGGAGCGUGCGGUUUAAUUGGACUCAACGCCGGAAAUCUUACCGGGACCGACAGCAACAUGAAGGCCAAGCUGAAGACUUUGCCGGAUUAGCUGAGAGGUGGUGCAUGGCGUCAGUGACU
rnacentral:rRNA from 1 species